rnacentral:sRNA from 1 species
CAUGAAACGGUGGCGCAGUAUUCUAGUCAGAGCGUGCGUCUUCUAAGACGGGCCUAAAAAUCCGUAGGAGGGCAUAUCGAUGAAGUCCUUGGUGCUUGCUUCUUACGCCCAGUUUGGGGUGAGUGCUGGGGGUUAAGGUUAUAGGGCAUCUUUCAAUGGCAUGAAAUCAUGACCCUGUUUCCGUGGAGACCUGCUGCUGUGGGGUGCUGAGCUCUUUUAUUAAGACAACUGACAUCUUACGGAGCAGGAUUAGAACCUGCAAUGCGGUGCGGAAGCAUCUUCGGAUGAAUAAGCGCUGUGUGCAGAGUAGCCUGCCUUGAGUGAAUAUGGUGGAUCAGGCAUCAGCAGGGCACAUAUAAGGCGCCAAGUGUGUCCCUGAAUCGGUCUUUGAAACCAUAUUUGCAAAAGAGGCUAAGAGGCGCGUGCACUGUCGUGGAAAACACCUAGACUGUCUGAAACGGGCAGCCGGAGGAUUGCAGUGCGGACUAAGUGGCAAUUCGGUAUCGGAAGUGGCAACACUCCGACUUGGUCUUUAAAGGGAAACCGCUGUCACGGCGACGGACAGCAGACCUUGGGGAAAUCCGACCGAACCUCAAGCCGCAAGAUUUACUCGGGCUGCUGCCAUCGUUUUAUUAUU